rnacentral:lncRNA from 1 species
GUCCUUCGUAUGGGCAGAAAUUACUGAGCAUUGUAAAAGUUUCCAUUUUAUUCUUUCAUGCAGGACAUUCCUUGAGCUACACCUUUAAGUUUCUCAGUGGUUAAAAAGGAGUCAAAAUGCUGUUUCAGGUCAGCUCAUUCUUAUUUCAACAAAGACAGACUUCCAGCUCCAAGCAUGUCUGCUCAAAUUCAGAUCUCACAAAGGCUUUGCAUGGAGUGAUCACCAAAGCAGGAACCUGAGGAUCAGGAGCUGCUUGCCAGGUCUGACUUUGUGACACUUCAGCCCCUCCUGCCUUCCUUCUCAGUGAGUGUUUGCUGGCAGUUUUUCACUCUCCAUCCUAACAAGCUCAU